rnacentral:rRNA from 20 species
CGGGAACUCAAAGGAGACUGCCAGUGAUAAACUGGAGGAAGGUGGGGAUGACGUCAAGUCAUCAUGGCCCUUACGACCAGGGCUACACACGUGCUACAAUGGCGCAUACAAAGAGAAGCGACCUCGCGAGAGCAAGCGGACCUCAUAAAGUGCGUCGUAGUCCGGAUUGGAGUCUGCAACUCGACUCCAUGAAGUCGGAAUCGCUAGUAAUCGUGGAUCAGAAUGCCACGGUGAAUACGUUCCCGGGCCUUGUACACACCGCCCGUCACACCAUGGGAGUGGGUUGCAAAAGAAGUAGGUAGCUUAACCUUCGGGAGGGCGCUUACCACUUUGUGAUUCAUGACUGGGGUGAAGUCGUAACAAGGUAACCGUAGGGGAACCUGCGGUUGGAUCACCUCCUUACCU